CUUUCCGCUAAAUCAUCUGGGCUGUCAGUCAAGGACUCAGCAAACACAUUAUUUGGCCAUGUUUAAAUGAAACAUAUGGGUGACAUGCUAAAUUCAUAACUGAAAUGACUGAAAAUGUGCAAAUAUCAAGGUUACCUGGGUCUGCUGGUCACUUCUAGUUUUUGGACUCUUGAAGAUGGUCUCUGUGACUCUGUCCUGGGUGAAAAGCAAGCAAAUAAGAGACCAACGACUUGGAUUAAAAUCAAAAUGAGAAGUAGAAAGAGUACCUAGUGUCUUAAAGAUGCGCGCCCUGCCUAGCCUCCAAAGUGCUUGCCAUUCUAGAAGCCUUCAGGCCCCCAGCCUGAUUCGGAAGGCAUCCUGGAAUGAACCCACUGCAUAGGAGAGGGCAAGGUGAGACCUGGGGGCUGGGGUGGGAGCCCAGCAGGAGGAUGAGAAGGUUCUCAUUCCACUUUGUAGUGCUGGUCACUGUCAGAUUGGCAUCUACCGCCACACCCCCGGCUACAGAGUAGGUGGAAGACCCACAACCAGCCUGAAUUUGAAGUAGAGACAUAUACCAGGAAAAAAGUGAAGAAUGAUGCCCUGUGUAAGUGGGAUGUAGCUAAGGCUCAGAAGAAAUUUCCUCAGCAAGAGGAAAGGAAACACUGACUUCCCCCAACCCAAGCUAUGAGUCAAAAUUGAUGGAGACACCAAUGACAUCCACAUUUUCUCUUAAAGUCUCUUACUUCUAAUUCCCCAAAUUUCUCUUUGUGGCUUAUAUUUUGGGCUAGAAAUGGAAGCAGAAAGGAAAGGCUAGGAAGGAAUUAGCGGUGGAAAGAGCAAGAGAAAUAAUAAUGCCUGGGUACACAGUUGGUGCUGAGGACAUGCUAGGUGAAGGAAUGAGAGGGAAAAGAGA